AUUGAACGCUGGCGGCAUGCCUUACACAUGCAAGUCGAACGGUAACGGGCCUUCGGGUGCCGACGAGUGGCGAACGGGUGGGUAAUACAUCGGAACGUGCCCGAUCGUGGGGGUUAACGAGGCGAAAGCUUUGCUAAUACCGCAUACGAUCUACGGAUGAAAGCCGGGGACCGCAAGGCCUUGCGCGGACGGAGCGGCCGAUGGCAGAUUAGGUAGUUGGUGGGAUAAAAGCUUACCAAGCCGACGAUCUGUAGCUGGUCUGAGAGGAUGAUCAGCCACACUGGGACUGAGACACGGCCCAGACUCCUACGGGAGGCAGCAGUGGGGAAUGUUGGACAAUGGGCGCAAGCCUGAUCCAGCCAUGCCGCGUGCAGGAUGAAGGCCUUCGGGUUGUAAACUGCUUUUGUACGGAACGAAAAGCCUUCUUUUAAUACAGGAGGGUCAUGACGGUACCGUAAGAAUAAGCACCGGCUAACUACGUG
rnacentral:rRNA from 1 species